rnacentral:rRNA from 1 species
GAUGAACGCUGGCGGCGUGCCUAAUACAUGCAAGUCGAGCGAACAGACGAGGAGCUUGCUCCUCUGACGUUAGCGGCGGACGGGUGAGUAACACGUGGAUAACCUCCCUAUAAGACUGGGAUAACUUCGGGAAACCGGAGCUAAUACCGGAUAAUAUAUUGAACCGCAUGGUUCAAUAGUGAAAGACGGUUUUGCUGUCACUUAUAGAUGGAUCCGCGCCGCAUUAGCUAGUUGGUAAGGUAACGGCUUACCAAGGCAACGAUGCGUAGCCGACCUGAGAGAGUGAUCGGCCACACUGGAACUGAGACACGGUCCAGACGCCUAAGGGAGGCAGCAGUAGGGAAUCGUCCGCAAUGGGCGAAAGCUUGACGGAGCAACGCCGCGUGAGUGAUGAAGGUCUUCGGAUCGUAAAACUCUGUUAUUAGGGAAGAACAAAUGUGUAAGUAACUAUGCACGUCUUGACGGUACCUAAUCAGAAAGCCACGGCUAACUACGUG